UACAGAGGGUGCAAGCGUUAAUCGGAAUUACUGGGCGUAAAGCGUGCGUAGUCGGUUAUCUAAGUCGGGUGUGAAAUCCCCGGGCUCAACCUGGGAAUUGCAUUCGAUACUGGAUAGCUAGAGUUCGGCAGAGGGAAGCGGAAUUUCGGGUGUAGCGGUGAAAUGCGUAGAUAUCCGAAGGAACAUCAGUGGCGAAAGCGGCUUCCUGGACCAGAACUGACGAUCAGGCUCGAAAGCGUGGGGAGCAAACAGG
rnacentral:rRNA from 1 species